rnacentral:rRNA from 1 species
UACGAAGGGGGGCUAGCGUUGCUCGGAAUCACUGGGCGUAAAGCGCACGUAGGCGGCUUUUUUAAGUCAGAGGUGAAAUCCUGGAGCUCAACUCCAGAACUGCCUUUGAUACUGGAGAGCUUGAGUCCGGGAGAGGUGAGUGGAACUGCGAGUGUAGAGGUGAAAUUCGUAGAUAUUCGCAAGAACACCAGUGGCGAAGGCGGCUCACUGGCCCGGUACUGACGCUGAGGUGCGAAAGCGUGGGGAGCAAACAGG